AUUGAGCACUGGCGGCAUGCUUUACACAUGCAAGUCGAACGGUAACAGGGUGCUUGCACCGCUGACGAGUGGCGAACGGGUGAGUAAUGCGUCGGAACGUGCCGAGUAGUGGGGGAUAACGCAGCGAAAGUUGUGCUAAUACCGCAUACGUACUGAGGUAGAAAGUGGGGGACCUUCGGGCCUCACGCUAUUCGAGCGGCCGACGUCUGAUUAGCUAGUAGGUGAGGUAAAGGCUCACCUAGGCGACGAUCAGUAGCGGGUCUGAGAGGAUGAUCCGCCACACUGGGACUGAGACACGGCCCAGACUCCUACGGGAGGCAGCAGUGGGGAAUUUUGGGCAAUGGGCGAAAGCCUGAUCCAGCCAUGCCGCGUGUCUGAAGAAGGCCUUCGGGUUGUAAAGGACUUUUGGCGGGGAGGAAAUCCCCAGCGUUAAUACCGCUGGGGGAUGACAGUACCUGAAGAAUAAGCACCGGCUAACUACGUGCCAGCCGCCGCCGUAAAAC
rnacentral:rRNA from 1 species